rnacentral:lncRNA from 1 species
CAAAAUAUAUAUCAAGUAUAACCCAUGGCUUCAUUUGGUUCGGGGUUAAGUAAGAACUAGUUAUUCCAGGAAUAGAGUUAAUUUCAGGGUUAAGGUGGGGUUAUAGUAAUUUUGUGUUUGGUUGAGAAUUGGGUUUAGUCCAGCUAUAAGCAAAAUAGGGUUUGGUUGGAGUAAAUGGAAUAAGAAAGAUAGUGAGUAGUUAUAAAUAGAAAAUAAUGAUAUUGCCCCAAUUAUUAUAUUUGAAUUUAAAUUUUUUAUUUUAUAUUUAAAAUUCCAAAUUUUCAUAGAUAACUUUUAAAUUAAAAAAUUCAAAAUUAAAAUCUAUAUUUUUAAAUCUAAAAUAUAAAAUUUAAAUAUAAAAUAUUAAAUUUUAAAGAUUACAAAUUAUAAAUUUUUAAAAUUUCAAAUAUAAAAUAUUAAAUUUAAAAUUUAAAUAACUAAAAAGAACAAUUUUAAAUUUAAACUUUAAAAUUUUAAAAAAUAAAUAUUAAUUUUAAAAUUGCAAACUAUGUUAAGGAUUUUGUAGGUUGGCGGAUUUCGUAAAGUCGAAUGGAGUCUUGAAGAGUUGAUCGCGGUAGUUUGAAGAGAAGAUUCAACUUGAAGAG